AUUGAACGCUGGCGGCAGGCCUAACACAUGCAAGUCGAACGAGUGGCGGACGGGUGAGUAAUGUCUGGGAAACCGCCAGGGGGAGGGGGAUAACUACUGGAAACGGUAGCUAAUACCGCAUACCAUCGGAUGUGCCCAGAUGGGAUUAGCGAGUAGGUGGGGUAAAGGCUCACCUAGGCGACGAUCCCUAGCUUGUCUGGGAGGAUGACCAGCCACCCUGGAACUGAGACACGGUCCAGACUCCUCCGGGAGGCAGCAGUGGGGAAUAUUGCACAAUGGGCGCAAGCCUGAUGCAGCCAGGCCGCGGGUAUGAAGAAGGCCUUCGGGUUGUAAAGUACUUUCAGCGGGGAGGCGUUACCCGCAGAAGAAGCACCGGCUAACUCCGUGCCAGCAGCCGCGGUAAUUC
rnacentral:rRNA from 1 species